rnacentral:pre_miRNA from 1 species
UACACGAAAGCUCGUAGUUUUGGAAAUAAAACAUCUGAGCUAAGCUCAGUGGUUAAUUAAUUGGGUCCAGAUAUAAUUGUUUUCAUAUA